rnacentral:rRNA from 1 species
GACGAACGCUGGCGGCGCGCUUUAUGCAUGCAAGUCGAACGGACCUUCGGGUCAGUGGCGGACGGCUGAGUAACGCGUAGGCAAUCUGCCCAGUGGUGGGGGAGUAACUCGCCGAAAGGUGAGCUAAUACCGCAUAAGUUCGGUGGUUGAAAUACCACCGAGGAAAGCAGCAAUGCACCACUGGAGGAGCCUGCGUCCUAUCAGGUAGUUGGUGGGGUAACGGCCUACCAAGCCGAUGACGGGUAGCUGGUCUGAGAGGACGACCAGCCAGAAGGGGAC